CUACGGGACGCAGCAGUCGAGAAUCUUCGGCAAUGGACGAAAGUCUGACCGAGCGACGCCGCGUGUGGGAUGAAGGCCUUCGGGUUGUAAACCACUGUCAGUUGGGAGGAAAUUCAUAGGGGUUCUCUCCUAUGAUUGACUUAUCUUCAGAGGAAGACCGGGCUAAGUUCGUGCCAGCAGCCGCGGUAAGACGAACCGGUCGAACGUUAUUCGGAAUCAUUGGGCUUAAAGGGUGCGUAGGCGGUGCGGAAAGUUGAGUGUGAAAUCCCUCGGCUCAACCGAGGAAUUGCGCCCAAAACUACCGUGGUAGAGGGAGACAGAGGUGAGUGGAACGGAUGGUGGAGCGGUGAAAUGCGUUGAUAUCAUCAGGAACACCAGUGGCGAAAGCGACUCACUGGGUCUCAUCUGACGCUGAGGCACGAAAGCUAGGGGAGCGAACGGGAUUAGAUACCCGGGUAGUC
rnacentral:rRNA from 1 species